rnacentral:rRNA from 1 species
CCGUGUACGUACAAGCAGUGGGAGCCUCUUUAUGGGGUGACUGCGUACCUUUUGUAUAAUGGGUCAGCGACUUAUAUUCUGUAGCAAGGUUAACCGAAUAGGGGAGCCGAAGGGAAACCGAGUCUUAACUGGGCGUUAAGUUGCAGGGUAUAGACCCGAAACCCGGUGAUCUAGCCAUGGGCAGGUUGAAGGUUGGGUAACACUAACUGGAGGACCGAACCGACUAAUGUUGAAAAAUUAGCGGAUGACUUGUGGCUGGGGGUGAAAGGCCAAUCAAACCGGGAGAUAGCUGGUUCUCCCCGAAAGCUAUUUAGGUAGCGCCUCGUGAAUUCAUCUCCGGGGGUAGAGCACUGUUUCGGCAAGGGGGUCAUCCCGACUUACCAACCCGAUGCAAACU